CAUAAGUUGUUUUCGAUGAUAGAUCUUCCGAAUCGACGAUCCACACCGUUAAACGUCAUUUACAGCAUUUAAAACUUCUAGAAAUCAAAUUUUAUAAUUUUUCGACGUCAUUUACCUUACGAUCAAGAGGUCACAAAUUUGACAAUUUUUAACGGCCGGUAUGGGAUACUUGCUAGUUUAACGGUGUAAAAGAAUCGAAAUUUGUUGAAUAUUUGAUAAAAAAUUUUAUUCAAUACAUAUAUAAAGAUCAAUAACUCCGAUCUUGAAUUGAAGGAUCCGAUCAUCCUUUUUAGGACGUCGUUCGAUUUUGACCGUUCAUUUUAUACCCACUUGAUGGACUUUAUUAUAAUUUCGAAAAUUUACGAAAUUUAUUUUCUAGAAGUUUCAAAUACUCUAGAUCAUAUUUAACGGAGUGGAUCGUCGAUUUGGAAGCUCCAUCAUUGAAAACAACUUAUGAGUAUGAGGGCUCCAAUACUCAUAAUAGUAUAGUAGCCAUGGCCUAUAUAUUAAUUUAUACUAAUAUUACAUGCAUACUAUAUCUAUAUAUAUUGCAUAAUACAUAAUACUCUAUAUACAUAUAAUAUAUAAUUUAUAUUUUAUAUUUAUUUUACAUAUGUAUAUAUACAUAAUGCAUGAUAUUUAUCAUGAAUACAUUCAUUCAUAAUAGAUAUAUAUACAUGCAUACUACAAACACACAACCCACAAACACAUCAUUAUUAGAUACUUUAUAUUAUAUAUAUAUAUAUGAUAUAAUAUUACUACAUUGCAUACUAAUUAACGUAUUAAUGCAUACAUCUACAUAAUAGUACAUACAUACAUAUAGAUACAUAUAUAUAUAUAUAUAUAUAGUAUAUUAGUAUAUAUAGAGGAGGCUCUACUUACUAUGGGCAGACGGAGGCUUACUGUUGUUCAGUUCGUUUUCGAUGUUACGACUUUUGAAUCGUCGAUCGGUUCCGUUAAACUUGAUCUAGAGUAUUUGGAGUACCUAGAAAAUAAAUUUUAUUAUUUUUCGAUAUCAUUUGUCUAGUGAUCGAAUGAGCUCAAAAUCAACAAAUUUCAAUGGCCGUAGUGAGCCGUUUGCAAGUUUAACGGUGUAGAAAUAUCCAAAUCACGUGAAAUUUUGAUAGAAAAUUCUUUAUACUAUAUAAAACAAGAUCAAUAUCUUUUAUUUAAAAUUUUAAUAUCAUACUAUUACAUUUUGUAAGAUUUUUAUUUUUAGCUGUUGAUUUUGAGCCCCUUCGUUCACUAGGCAAAUGAUAUCGUAAAAUCAUAAAAUUUAUUUUCUAGGUACUCCAAAUACUCUAGAUCAAGUUUAACGGAGCCGAUCGACGAUUCGAAAGUCACAACAUCGAAAACGAGCUGGAAGCACGGAAGGCUCCGUGCUUCCGAUAGCAUAGUAGCCUCACUCCAUAUAAUAUUAUGAUAUAUAUUAUAUUAUAUUAUAUAUAUAUAGUUAGUAUAUACAUAUAUUUAUGCUAACAUACUAAUUCAUUAAUAUUUUAUAUAUAUUUAUUAUAGAGGAAGAAGAGGUGAGAGAGAUGAGCGGGAGGAGAGAGAUGAUCGGAACUGAGAGAGAGAGAGAGUUGAGCUAGAAUACUAUCGGUAGCAAACGGGCUCCGUUGCCACCCAUUUGUUUUCGAUGAUGGAGCUUCCAAAUCGACAAUCGGCACCGUUGAACAUGAUCUAUACCACUUAAAGUAUCUAGAAACUAAAUUUCAAAUCUUUUCGAUAUCAUUGACCUAAUGAUCAAAAGAUUUCAAAAUUCGUAAUUUUAGUGGUAGAUAUGAGGUGUUUUCACGUUUAACGGCGUAAAGCUAUCCAAAUCAAUUGAAUUUUGGUUAGAAAAUUCUUUAAACUAUUUAGAACAAGAUCUAUACUCUCGAUCAUGAUUAUAAAAUUUCUAUCAUCACUUUUCAGAGGAUAUUCAUUUUCAACCGUUCAUUUUUACGCUCACUUGAUGGACAAGAGAACAAUAUCGGAAAAGCAUGAAAUUUGAUUUCUAGAUACUUCAAGUGGUAUAGAUUAUAUUUAACGGUGCCGAUCGUCGAUUUGGAGGCUCUAUCAUCGAAAACAAAUGGGUGGCAACGGAGUCCGUUUGCUACCGAUAGUAUUCUAGCUCAACUUCUAUAUUAUUAUAUAUAUUUAUAUAUAGUCGGUAGUAUCUUUUCGUACAAUGCUGGUACUCAUAAGUUGUUUUCGAUAAUAGAGCUUCCGAAUCGACGAUCCACACCGUUAAGCGUUAUUUACAGCAUUUAAAACUUCUAGAAAUCAAAAUUUAUAAUUUUUCGACAUCAUUUACCUUACGAUCAAGAGGUCACAAAUUUGACAAUUUUUAACGACCGGUAUGGGAUACUUGCUAGUUUAACGGUGUAAAAGAAUCAGAAUUUGUUGAAUUUUUGAUAGAAAAUUUUAUUCACUACAUAGAUAAAGAUCAAUAAUUCCGAUCUUAAAUUGAAGGAUUCGAUCAUCUUUUUUUAGAACGUCGUUCGAUUUUGACCGUUCAUUUUAUGCCCACUUGAUGGACUUUAUUAUGAUUUCGAAAAUUUACGAAAUUUUUUUUCUAGAAGUUUCAAAUA
rnacentral:lncRNA from 1 species